rnacentral:lncRNA from 1 species
GUAAGCAUCUGGUCUUUGAUGUACUUUAAAAUGCACCCCACCCCCACAUGAAAGAUAACUAAAUUUUUCAAAAUAUUAAUACUUCUUGAAUGUAAAUCGUGUGUCUAAGGUACUGGCAUAAUUUUUUUUUUCAAAUUUUCUAUAUGUUUGAAAUGUUUCAUAAUAAAAUCCUUUUAAAUUUUUUUCCAUGUGUAAUUUUAGGAUGAUAUAUAUAUAGCACAUGGAAAAAAGCAGGGCAUAGAAGUAUUUCCACUUUAAUUUCAGUUUCAUAAAAUCAGAGAGAAAAAGUCAUAGAUAUAUACACCAUACAUAAAAAAUAAAAGCGUAAAUAAAUACAGAAAGAAAUCUAAAGAGAAAUCACCAUAGCAGUAAAAGUAAAUUCUGUGUGAAGUGGUUAUAAGAGACACUAAGAGUUGCCCCUCCUUGAAAUUAUAUUUAGUUAUGGUCCUUAAGUCACUAUUAUUUGUAACCAAAAAAAAAAAUUGAAUAAAAAUAGUUCUCCCUCUUUAGUCCAUCCAAUCCUAAAGAAUUUUUAUCAGUGCCCUUUCUUUUUCUUCAGAGUCACUCUGUCACCCAGGCUGGAGUGCAGUGGCACCAUCACAGCUCCCUGCAGCCUUGACUUACAGGGCUCCAGUGAUCCUCCACCCUCAGCCUCCUGAGUAUCUGAGACCACAGGUGCAAGCCACCAUGCCCAGAGUGGACCAGUGUGAUGUUUUGUGGAAUGUCAGAACAAUCAAGAUCACUUCAGACUAUUAUGGCAGUGAGCAAGAGAACUAAUGGAGCCCGUGGCAACACUGGGAAGACAUAUUGUUGGCCCUGUUGGGUAACAGCAAAUCACUUCUGAUGGACCUUGCAAAUUGGUAUGGAGGAAAAGGCAUUAGCCAGUUGUAGCAAGGAAACCAAAAGGUAUAAACAUUCACUGAUUGAAAAACAAUGUCAUAAAGUCAUCCCAGUAUCUGUGAGGAGUUGGUUCCAGGACCCCUGAGGACACCAAAAUCCUCAGAUGCUCAAGUCCCUGAUAAAAAAAUAAAAGCAGUGGUGCCCUCGGGUUCAAAAACCUGAACGGUGGUCUUCAGUUGUUCCCCCAAGCUCCUCUAUCAGAGGCCCAGACACUCCAAGAGGCUGGGAAGAG